UGGCCUUGACAUAAACAGAAUUCAAUAGAGAUAUAGAAGUGCUAGUUUACUAGAGCUGUUAUAC
rnacentral:rRNA from 1 species